GUCUCAAGAUUACGUCUCCUCCCAUUGCGUUUCUUGAGUGUUCCCCUCUGAAGAUUUUCAUGGCUGAUAUUAUCGCCGAGAUCUUCAAACUUUAGCCGGACAAUUGUCCGGCUUUUUUUU
rnacentral:sRNA from 1 species